GUACAAUUUUAUGUGAUCUUGCUCAGUUGGCUGAUGUCUCAGUUUUCCUCUUGGUGGUACCUGUAUUCACAUGAGGAAAGCUUGCUGUCAAGCUUGGAUUUUUUGCAGGGUCUGCAAAAACUGCAUAGUUGGAGCAGGGAAACUCUGUGUUUCUGCUGUUCUGUUUUAGGUUUCGUUUGGAAGUUACUCUUCGUGUACAGUUGACCUGCCAUUUCAUAUUGUUUCUUCAUGGUUGGUUUUCUCGAAUGGUUUAUAGUUAUGAACAGUGCGCAAAAUUUGGUGCGGAGUGCCUUUUGCCAUGUGUUUUUUUAGGAACAGUAUCUGGUUUGGGUAUUUCAAUUAUUAAUUAUUUUCAAUCUCCUUUUGUGGUGAAUUUUUUUAUUUACCUCGUUUUAUUAAAGAAAAAACAUCAUGUUCCGAACGAGCGGAAUCCUGAAUUUCUGAUUUUCCAAGGCACAUGAACCCAUGUAGGUUGGCCGUUCAAACUUAAACACUUAUUUUAGAAUCACCCAUUCAGUGGCCUUUUUUAUUCCUGUACAUGAUACAUGCCAAUAUCAAAUUUCCUUUCUUUUUGUUAGUUUAAUAGGUGCUUAUCUUACCUAGAAGCUAGUACUAAUUGAUUUCAAUGACCACACAAUUUGCUGGCACUUCUUCAAGUUUUGCCAAAUGCCAACACUAACACAAUUCUAUAAGGAUCCAGAACAUACUGAGGAAUUACGUUCUUUAUUUUAUUUACAAAACUAUUUGUCCUGAAAGGACAUUAACACAUUUUAGUGAAGUAAUUUUCUUUUUACAAGGAUUUGGCCUUAUCAAAUAACCUUGGUAAAAGUAAUUUGUGGCAGUCAGCCCCACUUGUCUCUCAUCCCUAUCUCCUUCCUGCUCCCUAUUUCACAUUGUAUUGGUUUGGAGGAGCCUUCAUCAAGGAGAUGUUUGGUGCUUCCCUCUCAUAUGAUGCUACCUCCCUGCUUCCCACGUGUAAAAGUUCUCAAAAAUCAAAAUUUGGACAUUUAGGGAGACAAUUUUGUAUCCAUGUAGAAUUCCAAGGUCAAACUUGAUUUUGUAUUUGAAAGAUGUAUGAAAGACAGACAUAAUGAAUAGUGAUUUUCCUGCUUGGUACCAUUCAUUAUUGCUGGUACGGAGUUUCCUUUUUCUAAAAUUUUCAUUGCUAUUGAAUUAUCCCUCCCCUGUAUCUCCAAAUUUUUAGAGAUUGUUUUUAACUUUUACAUGUAGGAUUAGGAAGUGCAAGGAUAGUUUUGUUGUGCAAGUCUACUGGCCACUGCUACUGGAACAGGCGAUUGUUAUUUUCAAUACAUUUUGUGGCUAGCUUUAUACUAAGAGGGGUCGAAUUGGAGGAGGGCUACACUACUUGGUGGAGAUUUUACUGAGAUUCUACGUUGUGUUUCAAUUACAUUUACAUGGCAUAUCUUUUCUAAGACAUGCCGUCCUCUACGCCACCAUCAGUGCAACCUGCACCAACUGUGCAACCAUUACCGUCAUCCACGGCAGGACAGAGCACUCGUAUUGACCUUCGUGAGAUUAAGUCCAACAUCAUUAAGAGGAUUGGGCCAGGGCGAGCAAAGAAAUACUUUCAGCAUCUAGAGAGGUUCUUAUCAUCAAAAUUGAACAAAAAUGAGUUUGAUAAGCUCUGUCUUGUGACACUUGGCCGUGAGAACCUCCCAUUGCACAAUCACCUCAUCCGUUCUAUUCUCCACAAUGCAUGCCGUGCAAAUGGUCCACCGGCAAUUGAUGCGCCCAAGUUAGCAGGAGAUGUUUCUAAAUCAGAACAGAUACUUCAUCCUGUUUGGAACAAUGGUAAUGUUUCAAUCCAGCAUGUCAAAGACAAUAGAUCAUUGACCAUUGAGCAGGAGGGAGCGCCUAUUAUCAGGGAGAAUGGUGCUCCAAAUUUUAGUGAUCUGAAGAGAUGCCAACAGGUUCAGAACAGUGAGCAUGCUGAGCCACGUAACAAGCGAUUACAUUAUGAAAAGGAGCCACCGAGUUUUCUUGAGCCUUCACACAGCAAUUGGCCCUUCUGCUAUAUCUUAUGGUGAAAACUCGGGAGGUGAAAAUAUACACCGUAUCCAAGGUCCCGUGCGAGCUCCACUGGGGAUUCAAUUUUCCCCAGUUAAUUUUGGUGGGAUUCAGAAAUCUUCAGCCAUUGCUUCUGUCCCUCCAAAUGAUAGCUCUGUUAGUUGCUAUGAACUUGGUGAGUUAUGUGAUACUAUGCUACUGAGUAAGAGGAUGGAAAAAGUUGCAGAAGCAGCAGGUUUGGAAGGGGUCUCAGUAGAAUGUGCUAAUUUGUUGAAUAAUGGAGUUGAUGUUUUCUUAAAGCAGUUGAUUGGAUCUUGUGUGCAGCUAGUUGGAACAAGAUCACAGCUUGGGAAACUAAGCCAUGCAUCACUGAAGCAGCAGUUGUCACGUAAGCUAAUAAAUGGCGUAUCACUGAAAAAUCAUGUGCAUGGGCAGGGUAUUAUUAUACCUACAGGCCCUAACUCGAUCUCAAUACAAGACUUAAAGGCAGUGUCAGAGUUAAGUCCACAUCUUCUUGGGGUUAAUGCAUCACUGUUACGUGAGAAGAUUAAUUCAUAUGACUGAUUGGAUGGAGCAAAUUGGACGUUUUGUUCUUUCAAGAUAGUAUGGACUUGAUGGUGUGCCUUACUUCAUGGCUUAUGUAUCCAGGUCCUAGCUUAUUGCUGAGUGGUGGAAAAGGCAGGUGAACUUUGUACAGUGUGCUAACAUACUGUGACUGGUCUUCAGGGCAACCUGUCAGAAUAAGCAAAGAUCUGCUUAUCUACUGGGGUCUGUACUAUUUAGAGUAGGACCCAUCCAUUGUGUGCCUCUAAUCAACAGUAACGAGGCAUUAGUGCUUCAUACAGAACUAUGGUGCUCGACUCCAAACAAAUUGAGGAGCCAUAACACAGAAUUCUCUGUAAGUGGACUGCAAUGAUACAUGCUUUUCAAUUGUUACAUUUCUAGCAUAGAUAGCAGAGUAGAUGAUGAUUUAUUUCCAAUCAGUUUUGCUUUAGUGUUAGCAAAAGUAGGGAUUAUUUAUAAGGAAUAUGCGCAUAGAAAAAUGUAAUGUUCUUUUGAGAAAUGAAUAUUCCUUCCCUUCAGAAAUGAUGAAAACCAUGCUAUGGGAUAAACCAACAGAGGUUUUAUCCAGUAUUUUGAGGCACACAAGUUGCAAAAUAGAUGGUAGAAACAGAUUUUUAUUAGAUAUCCUUGACUCCUGAGUUUCAGGACCCGAUUGUACAAAUAACAUUCUUUUGCCUUCUGCACUGUGGUCUUGCACUUUUAUGUAUUGAGAAUACACCAUGGGCCGCUAAAUGUGUCUGGCCGGUUAAGUCCACGAAUGUCUAAUAUGCAGUUUGAGGUCCUCGAACUUUUCCAAACUGUUCCCUAGAGGCCCAACCUGACCCCACACUGCCACAUAUGGUGCCAGGGUGGACACUGGUGUAGUAUUGGAAUUUUAGCGGCAUUUCUAUGUGGGCAUUUUGCAGUUAGAUCCUCUAAAGAGUAUGAUUUACAUUAAUCACAUUAAUAGAUGGGUGUGAACCAACUUUAUGAAUGCUUAAAAAUCAAAGGAUAGCUAUGGUAGUGUAGGUGCAGUGUAAAUAUUUCAAUGUCUCCAUGCACUUUUUGCAGCACUAGGCCCCAUACUUUGAUUUCUUUGCAGUUACUUAUGUUCUAUUCGCAGCUCUGCGUGCUGCAGCCAUGGACUUCUCGUGGUUGCCCAUGGGGAUGGAAAAACUAUGAAAAUGGGAGAGCUUGUAGGGGGUUUUUUGCAAACUUUUAGGUGAUUAAAAAGGGCAUAUGUGAUCGGACUGUGCAUGUUGGUGCACUCCUGUCUAUCCUGGUACUGUUUGGCUUCCAUGUAGGUGGUGUGGGGCAAUAUCGGACCUCUAGUGAACGGUUUAGAUAGGUUUAGGAACCUUAAACUGUAGAUUGAAACUUCAUGGACCUAAGUGAAGCAGGUGGACAGGUUAGCGACAUGUAGUGUAUUUUACUCAUAUAUUCAUCUUCUAUUUAAUACUACCUCUGUUUUUUUUUAUAUAUGAUGCCAUUAACUUUUAACAAACGUUUGACCAUUCGUCUUAUUCAAAAUAUUUGUGCAAACAUAAAAAAAUAUAAGUCAUGCUUUAAGAACCUUUAAUGAUAAAUCAAGUCACAAGAAAAUAAAUGAUAAUUACAUGAAUUUUUUGAAUAAGACAAAUCGUCAAACAUAUCUCAAAAGUCAACGGCGUCAUACAUUAAAAAACAGAGAGAGUACCAUUUAUCUAUUUCUGGAUGCUAUUCUUGUAGUUCUGCUAUGGCACUCUGCAACUGGCCAUUUUCACAAAAGGAAAAAAAAAGGUCUUUUCGGAAUCUAAAAGCAGUUACAUCAAAUAAGGAAAGAAAAAAAAUAUGUAGAGGGAUCCACUUGAUAGGUUUGUAGCAUAUAUCUAAUGGGCAAAAUGAGCAAAGCUUUGCAUUAGUUCUCCAUUAUAUUGUAGUGGUGUCAAAGUGAAACUUACUAAAAUUAUGAUUUAAUAAGGUCGGCAGUGCCAUAUGCAUGUUGGAUGUAGUUUCCUAGUCAUAGGUUUGAUGGUUCCAUUAUUAUGUCUGCUUGAUACAGUUACAGUGGAAUGCAUGUUAGUUAACCAAAAAUAUUAUCUCCGUGAAGUUUUGUUAUGCACACUCAGUAUCACAACAAAAUGGUUUUGAUCUGGUGAAGAAAAAAAUAAUUCAUGAUCUAAUUCUUUUUCUGGGGAUUGAUUUGCCUCUUAACUAUUUAUUCAGCCACUGAAAUCAAGUGUCCCUUACUCUUUCCAUGUUGUCUGUAUUUGCUCUGGUAUCUUAUUGUUUAAACCUGAAACCAUCUGUACUGGCCUUCUUUUCUUCAUUUCUGUCGGUGGCCUAUGUAGUUCUUGGAGUAUUUGCCUACUUUUGGAAGGCAGUAGUUCUUUUUGCUUCUGUUAUACCUUGAUUUGUUCAAUGGGAGUGCACAGCUUAUUGAGAAUUAUGAUCUCUACCUAGUUCUUAUCAGUAAAGCACAUAGAUUGUUUUUAUUUAUAUCGAGGAUUAAUACAGUUGAUGCCUUCGUAUUGUUACUUUUACUUAAUCUUUAUCCUGGAGCAGUAGUUUAUUUUUUCUUUUUAGUUCUGUAUAGUGAAAUCCCUUUUGGGGGCUUUGGUUUGUUGGUUCAUCGUCUGUCAUCCCACUUUUUCAACCAUUGCUAAGGUAAGUCGAGCUUUGCUAAUCAUAUAAUUUUGAAUUUCGAAGCUUUAAAAUUUGGAUGUUCAUCUCCCCUUUUUAUGCGUUCUCUAUUGUGGCAAAAAAACAAUUGCAUGUAGUUGUUAUUCUUCUUCAAUAAAACAUAAUGACAUCGCAGUUAAUUUUAGAGUGUAUUGUUUUUCUUGAGACUGAUGUAAUGAAUUGGAUGGACUAUUAGAGAAAAAUACCUCAUACCAUGUGGGAAUCUUUGUGCGCAUGCCCUCAGCCUGCUUUGAUGUAGUACAAUAUUUUUAAGGUAAAGAACACUGCUAAUGAAACCUAAUAUGCCUGCCAACGUUCUUUCAAGCUUCCAGGAAUCCAUGCUGAUGAUGUCAAUCUGUAAAAUGGGUUACCUCCAGGACAGAGCCAGGAUCCGCGAUUUUUUUUCUCCAAUGAUCUCCACAAAGUGCAAACAUGAGGAAGACACGAUUCUGCAAAACGUGGUUGCUUCUCUGUGCUGUUCCCAUCGGUUAAACAACAAUUUUGUUCGUAACUUUGAUCUACUGGCAAAAUUGCCCCAUCGUGAAGCAUAAAGCAUCAUUCAUGUAUAGAAGAAACACAAUAAGCCACUCCGCUGGCUGAUCCAUAUCGAAUGAUAUGAAGCAUCCAUAGCUCUGUACAAUCAGUGUAUAUACGACUUGUUUAUUCCGUUUCAUAAAAAUUUCAAUUAUUCUGUAUACCUAUUUAGUUUCAUUCUCACUCAGAUAAACUGUGAACAUCUUGCUUAUAAGAUUGGCGAGUGGUAUCUGGUGACAAGUGGAUGCACCAGAACAAAGAGGUGUUAUGAUUUCUGAAUAUCAACAUCAGAAAACUGUAUGGAAUAUAUCGAAUUCUGGUUGGGGGUAGGAUUGCAUACAAGAUUUGAGUAUCGUGCAUGACAGGCCAGUUACCAUCAACUUGUUGACUAGGAGUCUAGUUUAAACCCUGUCUUUGAACUCGGCCCUGAUUGUUCGAAUUAUGUGGAACCUCA